CAGACGUGUGCUCCUCCGUUCUCGGUGGUUAUUAGGUGUUCCUCUUUUUUCUUAAACCACGUGUUUGUUAUAGCCAGGUCGAAGGCACAGGCAGCUUGUAAAAGUGUCUCACCGUCAGCGUUCCGGUUUCCCAAUCCCCACCCACCAUGCACUCUCUCAUAUCCAUCAUUCUCUCUUCCUACAUGGCCAUUAAAAUCACCACCCACGUAGACUUCCUCGCUAUCCUGUAUAUUCAUCAGCAGGCAAUCAAAGUCCUCCCAAAACUUUUCUUUCACGCUCUC